rnacentral:rRNA from 1 species
GACGAACGCUGGCGGCGUGCUUAACACAUGCAAGUCGAACGGAAAGGCCCUGCUUUUGUGGGGUGCUCGAGUGGCGAACGGGUGAGUAACACGUGAGUAACCUGCCCUUGACUUUGGGAUAACUUCAGGAAACUGGGGCUAAUACCGGAUAGGAGCUCCUGCUGCAUGGUGGGGGUUGGAAAGUUUCGGCGGUUGGGGAUGGACUCGCGGCUUAUCAGCUUGUUGGUGGGGUAGUGGCUUACCAAGGCUUUGACGGGUAGCCGGCCUGAGAGGGUGACCGGCCACAGUGGGACUGGGAUACGGCCCAGACUGAUACGGGAGGCAGCAGUGGGGAAUAUUGCGCGAUGGGCGGAGGCCUGAUGGAGCAACGCCGCGUGCGAGAUGACGGCCUUCGGGUUGUAAACCGCUUUCGCCGGUGACGAAGCGUGAGUGACGGUAAUGGGUAAAGAAGCACCGGCUAACUACGUG